GCAGGAUUGAGGAAUUUAUGUCACCGGAUUCGUGAUUUAGGACCCAAAAUUAGAUACCCUCUAAGGCCUUGGUUACUUGCACCAUUAAGGAAUCCUUCAAAUGAGCAGGAGGAAAUAUUCAAGAGGGUAAGAAGCAUCAUAGAAAGGUGUAAUGGUUUACUGAAAAACAAGUUUUGCUGCCUCUUAAAACAUCAAGUACUCCAUUAUCAAUCAAAGAAGGCAGUAUCAAUAAUAUUGGCAUGUUGUGUGCUACAUAAUAUUUGUGUGGAAAAUAAAAUUGAAGAACCAGAACAAGAUGAAGAAUUCAUAAAUUAUUAAUGAAAGAAAUUACUCGUUAAUAGGCAGAAAUCCAACUAUUCUAGAUCUAAGCGCUGGCAGACAGUUAAGGCAGUCGAUUAUUGAGAAUAAUUUCUCAUAGCAAUUUUGGAAAAAGUACAAGGACUCUCCUUCUGGAGCAACAGAUCCCGACAUUAGAGGAGCAAGAGAUCCCAACAUUAGAGAAGAAACACUCCCCGACAUUAGACAAUAGUCACACACUGUUCCACAGUAUCAAUGUGGUUCGUUCAUGAUAUUCCCUCUGCUAUAUCAUAAAAAAAAUUCAUUAUUUGUUUCCUGUUUGUAAUUAAUGUUGGUGGUAUGGUAGAAACAAAGUGCAACUUGUUAUCAAAGAGAAUUAACUGAUUUCUCCACAGCACUCUUGACCACGAAUUUAAAUGAAUGCUCUGUAUAUUAUCAAAUAUCUAUGGGACUGAAUUUACCUUGAAAUAAAUAUACAUUUUUCACAGCAAUUUAGUAUGUGUAAUUUUGAUUAUUUCAAUACUCAACUGAGUUUUAUGUCUUAUGAAAUUUUCAAUACACAAUAAUUUGAUAAUCUUU